rnacentral:lncRNA from 1 species
AGCGGGGGGGCCACAUCAUUGCGGAUCACCUCGGGGCGGGCGUCCAGGCCGCGGUGCAGCUGGCUCAGGUCAUAGUCCUGGUCCUCCUCACCCCCACCUUCCUCCCCGUAGUAGAAGAUGUUGUCCCUUGUGUCGUCCUCAGGCAGCAGCAGCGGCUCCUUCACCACCUUCCUCCUCCUCACCAGGAGAAGCAGCAGCAGCAGCACGAGCAGCAGGGCCAGCACAGCACCCAGCACGGCCAGCACGAUGGGCACACCCGUAUCCACGCGUGGCUUCUGGGCACAGCUCUCCACGCGGCCCUGGCAGUCGCACACCUGUGCCCUGAUGACGGUGACCUGGUCCUUG